CGGACUAUGGCGCAGUUUGGUAGCGCACUACACUGGGGGUGUAGGGGUCGCAGGUUCAAAUCCUGUUAGUCCGACCA
rnacentral:tRNA from 12 species